rnacentral:rRNA from 1 species
GACGAACGCUGGCGGCGUGCCUAAUACAUGCAAGUAGAACGCUGAAGGAGGAGCUUGCUUCUCUGGAUGAGUUGCGAACGGGUGAGUAACGCGUAGGUAACCUGCCUGGUAGCGGGGGAUAACUAUUGGAAACGAUAGCUAAUACCGCAUAAUAGUAGAUGUUGCAUGACAUUUGCUUAAAAGGUGCAAUUGCAUCACUACCAGAUGGACCUGCGUUGUAUUAGCUAGUUGGUGGGGUAACGGCUCACCAAGGCGACGAUACAUAGCCGACCUGAGAGGGUGAUCGGCCACACUGGGACUGAGACACGGCCCAGACUCCUACGGGAGGCAGCAGUAGGGAAUCUUCGGCAAUGGACGGAAGUCUGACCGAGCAACGCCGCGGGAGGGAAGAAGGGUUUCGGAUCGUAAAGCUCUGUUGUAAGAGAAGAACGAGUGUGAGAGUGGAAAGUUCACACUGUGACGGUAUCUUACCAGAAAGGGACGGCUAACUACGUG